CCUACGGGAGGCUGCAGUGGGGAAUAUUGCACAAUGGGCGCAAGCCUGAUGCAGCCAUGCCGCGUGUGUGAAGAAGGCCUUCGGGUUGUAGAGCACUUUCAGCGGGGAGGAAGGCGGUGAGGUUAAUAACCUCAUCGAUUGACGUUACCCGCAGAAGAAGCACCGGCUAACUCCGUGCCAGCAGCCGCGGUAAUACGGAGGGUGCAAGCGUUAAUCGGAAUUACUGGGCGUAAAGCGCACGCAGGCGGUCUGUCAAGUCGGAUGUGAAAUCCCCGGGCUCAACCUGGGAACUGCAUUCGAAACUGGCAGGCUAGAGUCUUGUAGAGGGGGGUAGAAUUCCAGGUGUAGCGGUGAAAUGCGUAGAGAGCUGGAGGAAUACCGGUGGCGAAGGCGGCCCCCUGGACAAAGACUGACGCUCAGGUGCGAAAGCGUGGGGAGCAAACAGGAUUAGAUACCCCAGUAGUC
rnacentral:rRNA from 1 species